CACUAGGAAGCUGUAAGGGGUCAGCAUUAGCCUUUUAGCUAAAAGUUGGUGGCUCCCGACCACCCCCUGUGA
rnacentral:tRNA from 1 species